GCCUGGAUAGCUUAGUUGGUUGGCGCUUGGUGCUGAUAAUGCCAAGGCUGUGGGUUUGAUCCCCAUAUGGGACA